rnacentral:lncRNA from 1 species
AUGGCCUUGGCUAAUGUGGAACCCGGGGGACCCGAAGGAGAGCAACGGGAUCUAUCUGCCACAGGUUGACUGCUUCCUGCUGUCCAUGUCCACCACCUCAGCCAAGGCCACUUCCGGGACCUGCUUCACCUUGCUUGCUUGCUCCCUUCUUCUCCCCUUGAAUCCUGUGGUGGAGAAGAGUGUCCCUGCUGCAGUUUCUGGGUACCUAUUAGCCACUGCAAGCCCCUAUGGUUAAAGUCAAUAUGCAGAACUGCUGUGUGUCAGUGUGCAAAACCACAGCCUGUCAGCUCUUAAACUGCUAAAAUGCCCAUUUUGCUCUAUUGCACAAGGACCUGAGUUUAACUUCGAGUCUGUGAGUACAUGAGCACGCACACACAUACACACACACACACACACACACACACACACACACUCAAGAAAAGGGAAGAAAAAUUAUCUUUAUCAAUGAAUAUAAAAAUCCUUAUUAAA